CCUUCCGGAUAUGCUCAAUAAAUAUUAUGAGUCACGUGAUAUAAUAGGUGUGGCUAUUAUAAAAUGGCGGUUGCAGGUGAAGGUCAAGGUGAUGAUCAUGCUCAUACAACACAAUACAAGCCAGAGCUCUGGUACAAGUGACAUCGUUUCCAGUAUUGUUAGUUUAGGAGAAAGUAUUGUUGCGAAGGCAACUGAAUUGGUUAACCAAGAUGAUGAUGUUGAGGAGGCUGAAGAUUUAGUAGAGGGGGGCGUAAAAUUCAGGCAAAGGUGAAGAAGAGAGUAUCAAAGGCUACAAGUAGUAAAGUAGGAAAGAAAGUUCAGAGCACAGUGCAGAUCAGUUGCUGUCAUAUCAUAAUGAUAGUGACUCCUAAUACAAAAGGAAUUGGCUUCAGAAAGGAUUCUGCAAUGUACGAGGUUGAUUUGUUAAAAAGUGAUGCAUAUGGUGAUGUAGUAUCGAAGAUUAGUGCAGCACAGGUGCUGUAUUAUGAUAAAUGAAU
rnacentral:lncRNA from 1 species